UACGUAGGGGACAAGCGUUGUCCGGAUUUACUGGGCGUAAAGAGCGCGCAGGCGGUCGUUCAAGUCGAGAGUGAAAGCCCCCGGCUCAACUGGGGAGGGUCACUCGAUACUGAUCGACUUGAAGGCAGGAGAGGGAAGCGGAAUUCCCGGUGUAGUGGUGAAAUGCGUAGAUAUCGGGAGGAACACCAGUGGCGAAGGCGGCUUCCUGGCCUGCUCUUGACGCUGAGGCGCGAAAGCUAGGGGAGCAAACGGG
rnacentral:rRNA from 1 species